rnacentral:tRNA from 1 species
GCGGGUGUAGCCAAGUGGUGAAGGCAGUGGGUUGUGGUUCCACCAUUCGCGGGUUCAACUCCCGUCACUCGCC